UACGAAGGGGACUAGCGUUGUUCGGAAUCACUGGGCGUAAAGCGCACGUAGGCGGGUCUUUAAGUCAGGGGUGAAAUCCUGGAGCUCAACUCCAGAACUGCCUUUGAUACUGAGGAUCUUGAGUUCGGGAGAGGUGAGUGGAACUGCGAGUGUAGAGGUGAAAUUCGUAGAUAUUCGCAAGAACACCAGUGGCGAAGGCGGCUCACUGGCCCGAUACUGACGCUGAGGCACGAAAGCGUGGGGAGCAAACAGG
rnacentral:rRNA from 1 species